GCUUAACAUGCAGUCGAACGGUAACGCGGGGCAACCUGGCGACGAGUGGCGAACGGGUGAGUAAUAUAUCGGAACGUGCCCAGUAGUGGGGGAUAGCCCGGCGAAAGCCGGAUUAAUACCGCAUACGACCUACGGGUGAAAGCGGGGGAUCGCAAGACCUCGCGCUAUUGGAGCGGCCGAUAUCAGAUUAGGUAGUUGGUGGGGUAAAAGCCUACCAAGCCGACGAUCUGUAGCUGGUCUGAGAGGACGACCAGCCACACUGGGACUGAGACACGGCCCAGGCUCCUACGGGAGGCAGCAGUGGGGAAUUUUGGACAAUGGGCGCAAGCCUGAUCCAGCCAUGCCGCGUGCGGGAAGAAGGCCUUCGGGUUGUAAACCGCUUUUGUCAGGGAAGAAAAGUUCUGGGCUAAUACCCUGGGAUGAUGACGGUACCUGAAGAAUAAGCACCGGCUAACUACGUGCCAGCAGCCGCGGUAAUACGUAGGGUGCAAGCGUUAAUCGGAAUUACUGGGCGUAAAGCGUGCGUAGGCGGUUCGUUAAGUCAGAUGUGAAAGCCCCGGGCUUAACCUGGGAACUGCAUUUGAAACUGGCGGACUAGAGUUGAGUAGAGGGGAGUGGAAUUUCAGGUGUAGCGGUGAAAUGCGUAGAUAUCUGAAGGAACACCAGUGGCGAAGGCGACUCCCUGGACUCAAACUGACGCUGAGGUACGAAAGCGUGGGUAGCAAACAGGAUUAGAUACCCUGGUAGUCCACGCUGUAAACGAUGUCAACUAGCCGUUGGUCCUA
rnacentral:rRNA from 1 species